AAUGAACGUUGGCGGCGUGGAUUAGGCAUGCAAGUCGAGCGUACCCAGCAAUGGGGAAGCGGCAAACGGGGUAGUAAUGCGUCGGUACGUGCCCUCGGGACGAGGAUAGCCACGGGAAACUGUGGGUAAUACUCGAUGAUCUCGUGAGAGCAAAGGUGUGACUCCGCCUGAGGAGCGGCUGACGUGGUAUUAGGUAGUUGGUAGGGUAAUGGCCUACCAAGCCUGGGAUGCCUAGGGGGUGUGAGAGCAUGGCCCCCACCAUUGGGACUGAGACACUGCCCAGACACCUACGGGUGGCUGCAGUCGAGGAUCUUCGGCAAUGGGCGCAAGCCUGACCGAGCGACGCCGCGUGCGGGAUGAAGGCCUUCGGGUUGUAAACCGCUGUCAGAGGGGAUGAAAUCAUGGUGGGUACUCCCAUCAUGUUGACAGAGCCUCAGAGGAAGCGCGGGCUAAGUUCGUGCCAGCCGCCGCCGUAACAC
rnacentral:rRNA from 1 species